rnacentral:rRNA from 1 species
UACGAGUGCCCCAAGCGUUAUCCGGAAUCAUUGGGCGUAAAGGGUGUGUAGGUGGUUGUGUUAGUCUUUUGUUAAAUUCUUCGGCUUAACCGGGGGCAUGCAAAGGAAACGGCACAACUAGAGGAUGCGAGAGGUGAAUGGAACUCAUGGAGUAGGGGUGAAAUCCGUUGAUAUCAUGGGGAACACCAAAAGCGAAGGCAAUUCACUGGCGCACUCCUGACACUGAGACACGAAAGCGUAGGUAGCGAAUGGG